GGGGGAUAACCAAUCGAAAGAUUGGCUAAUACCGCAUACGCUCCGAGGAGGAAAGCAGGGGACCUUCGGGCCUUGCGUUAUUCGAGCGGCCAAUAUCUGAUUAGCUAGUUGGUGGGGUAAAGGCCUACCAAGGCGACGAUCAGUAGCGGGUCUGAGAGGAUGAUCCGCCACACUGGGACUGAGACACGGCCCAG
rnacentral:rRNA from 1 species